UAGGGAAUCUUCGGCAAUGGGGGCAACCCUGACCGAGCAACGCCGCGUGAGUGAAGAAGGUUUUCGGAUCGUAAAGCUCUGUUGUAAGAGAAGAACGUGUGUGAGAGUGGAAAGUUCACACAGUGACGGUAACUUACCAGAAAGGGACGGCUAACUACGUGCCAGCAGCCGCGGUAAUACGUAGGUCCCGAGCGUUGUCCGGAUUUAUUGGGCGUAAAGCGAGCGCAGGCGGUUUAAUAAGUCUGAAGUUAAAGGCAGUGGCUUAACCAUUGUUCGCUUUGGAAACUGGUAAACUUGAGUGCAGAAGGGGAGAGUGGAAUUCCAUGUGUAGCGGUGAAAUGCGUAGAUAUAUGGAGGAACACCGGUGGCGAAAGCGGCUCUCUGGUCUGUAACUGACGCUGAGACUCGAAAGCGUGGGGAGCAAACAGG
rnacentral:rRNA from 1 species